rnacentral:rRNA from 1 species
CGUAGGCGGCGUGUCACGCCGGGUGUGAAAGCCCCGGGCUCAACCUGGGAACGGCAUCCGGAACGGGCAGGCUAGAGUGCAGGAGAGGAAGGUAGAAUUCCCGGUGUAGCGGUGAAAUGCGUAGAGAUCGGGAGGAAUACCAGUGGCGAAGGCGGCCUUCUGGACUGACACUGACGCUGAGGUGCGAAAGCGUGGGUAGCAAACAGGAUUAGAUACCCUGGUAGUCCACGCCGUAAACGAUGUCGACUAGCCGUUGGGUCCCUUGAGGACUUAGUGGCGCAGUUAACGCGAUAAGUCGACCGCCUGGGGAGUACGGCCGCAAGGUUAAAACUCAAAUGAAUUGACGGGGGCCCGCACAAGCGGUGGAGCAUGUGGUUUAAUUCGAUGCAACGCGAAGAACCUUACCUACCCUUGACAUCCUGCGAACCCGGAAGAGAUUCCGGGGUGCCUUCGGGAGCGCAGAGACAGGUGCUGCAUGGCUGUCGUCAGCUCGUGUUGUGAAAUGUUGGGUUAAGUCCCGUAACGAGCGCAACCCUUGUCCCUAUUUGCCAGCGAUUCGGUCGGGAACUCUAGGGAGACUGCCGGUGACAAACCGGAGGAAGGUGGGGACGACGUCAAGUCAUCAUGGCCCUUACGGGUAGGGCUACACACGUGCUACAAUGGCCGGUACAAAGGGUUGCGAAGCCGCGAGGUGAAGCCAAUCCCAGAAAGCCGGCCUCAGUCCGGAUUGGAGUCUGCAACUCGACUCCAUGAAGUCGGAAUCGCUAGUAAUCGUGCAUCAGAAUGGCACGGUGAAUACGUUCCCGGGCCUUGUACACACCGCCCGUCACACCAUGGGAGUGGACUGCACCAGAAGUGGUUAGCCUAACUUCGGAGGGCGAUCACCACGGUGUGGUCAUGAUGG